GUCAGAAAUACAGCACUUUUUUUGUUGUGCGACAUUGGGUCAACUGUACAUUGCAUAGGAGUGCUAGUGAGUGAAAUCAUAGUUAAGUAUUUACAUAUCCUAGGCACUGGUCUUGUUGGUCAACUAUGUUGACAAGCUUAGGUAGGGUGAGUGUCCUGAAUAUGAUAGGCAAACUAGAAAUCAUCACGGGGUUUACAUGUGUAUGUCUACUCCAGGUGGGUGAUACUGAAGAUUGGAGUCUAGGGUCCCUGUUGCGGGGAGUUAUAGUCCUUAGUGUUUAUCAACUGGCUUUGUUGGGCUGUGUUGAGUUUGUGUUCAGCAGGAUUGUAGAUGAGUCCAAGGGAUAUUUAAGUUAGCUCCCUG